rnacentral:rRNA from 1 species
UACGUAGGGCGCAAGCGUUGUCCGGAAUUAUUGGGCGUAAAGAGCUCGUAGGCGGUCUGUCGCGUCCGUUGUGAAAACUCGAGGCUCAACCUCGGGCUUGCAGUGGAUACGGGCAGACUAGAGUGCGGUAGGGGAGACUGGAAUUCCUGGUGUAGCGGUGAAAUGCGCAGAUAUCAGGAGGAACACCGGUGGCGAAGGCGGGUCUCUGGGCCGAUACUGACGCUGAGGCGCGAAAGCUAGGGGAGCAAACGGG